rnacentral:rRNA from 1 species
GUGGGGAAUCUUCCGCAAUGGACGAAAGUCUGACGGAGCGACGCCGCGUGAGUGAAGAAGGCCUUCGGGUUGUAAAGCUCUUUCGUCAGGAACGAAACGGCGGGCUCUAACAUAGCCUGUUAAUGACGGUACCUGAAGAAGAAGCACCGGCUAACUACGUGCCAGCAGCCGCGGUAAUACGUAGGGUGCGAGCGUUAAUCGGAAUUACUGGGCGUAAAGCGUGCGCAGGCGGAUUGUUAAGCAAGACGUGAAAUCCCCGGGCUUAACCUGGGAAUGGCGUUUGGAACUGGCAGUCUAGAGUGCGUCAGAGGGGGGUGGAAUUCCACGUGUAGCAGUGAAAUGCGUAGAGAUGUGGAGGAACACCGAUGGCGAAGGCAGCCCCCUGGGAUGACACUGACGCUCAUGUACGAAAGCGUGGGUAGCAAACAGGAUUAGAAACCCUAGUAGUCC